AAUGUACUUUCGGGAAGCUACUAGGUGUGAAAAAGUUCCCUAGUCUCGAAGAAAAACAAAGACUAGCAAUGGGGGAACCAAAAUUCCCCUAAGUUUGCAUUCCAGUGCAUCUCUGCAAUAGGAGCGUACUACACUCCCUAUCCUCUGCGAUAAGGGUGUGGCACACUGGAGAUAAAAAUUCAGCCACACCCAUUACAGUAAGCCUCUGUGAUAAGGGUGUGGCACGGAGGGGGUAUUUCGGAUCAUUUUUCAUUAAAUAAUUGGGUCUAACCCAAUUUAAAUUCUUUUAAAAAAUUAAUCCGUCCUUUACAAACACAAAAUUCCCAAUUUCUUCUCAAUCUACAAGACCUAGCAUACCAUUCUCCUACAUCUCUUCCAAAUUGAAGAGUACUACGCCAGGCAUAUUAUCCUUCUAUAUCCCAACCGAGUUCUCCUUCUCUUCUUUGCAAGUUCGACUAAGGCACCAUAACAAGAAUAUCAUAAAAAGAUAAGGAUGUUGUUGUGCCUUUGGAGGCACCAAAAAAGAGAGUGUGGGCUAUUGCUUAUGUGACUAGAGCCUCGGGUGUCUCACUAGGUCAUUCUCGGUGGGUUUAAUAAGCAGAAAAUAAUGGUACAACAAACGCACUGAGUCCAAAUAUACCCCAGACAAGUUAAUUGACCGGGAGAGUUUGAGAAGAGAGUUCCCAGGCAUGGUUCAGAGAAUCGAGGAGAUAUGGAUAAACUUUAUUUUUUAGCAGCCCACAGAGUGCAACCUGUAGUUAAUCAGGGAAGUCUACGCAAAUUGGAAGCCUAGGCAGUCGGAUGAAGAGGUAAAUAUUCAACGACAUGUGGUUUACUUUGAUGCCCAUCACUUGAAUGUUCUACAAGGUACAUCUGAGUCAGAUUCUCUUCAUCUCAGAUAGCUGGAUAUCACUCCUCCCUAUGCCGACAUCAGAUAUUUAUUAUGUGGAAAUAGAUCAACGACUACAUGGAUUUACCACUGAGAAGGAGGUUAUCACAUGACAUUUCCCUAUGUAUAGAUAAACAGUGAAUCAUGAGUGCGGUUGAAAAUCAUUUGUCAUUGCCUCACUCCAGGGAAGCACAUGAUAGAGGUUACUCAGGAUUAGGUUUGCCUUUUGUUUAUGCCAUUAUGCAAGAGGGCUUUAAGUUAAUCUUUCCGCAGUGAUUAUAUCAAUAAUAAAGAAGACUCGAUAUCAUCAAGGACAUAGGUAUGGCUUCAGUGGGUUGCUAAAAUGGUUUUUGAAAGGCUAUGUUGUUGAGGAGAAAGCCUUGGACUACAUACCAUUGUUAGACACACGCAUAGUGGAUGUGACCCAAACACAGGAUCUUGACAUUGCUCAUAGGAUAAUGCUGACACUACCCAAGCGUCAUGCUCAGGAUGAUGAGAUCAUAGCCCACAUAUACGGACUACAGAUACUAUAGGUGAGAGUGGGAGCCCAGGUAGCCACUAGAGAGGAGAUACAUAGGGUGGAGCUUGACUACCCUCUUGGUCACCAUGCUAGGACUUUAUUGCAAAUUGGACCAGACUUCUUUGAGCUGAGAAUGGUGACAUUACGAUGGAUAAGGAUAGGUAGUUAUUGUAGGAUUCAAACAUUAUGUUUGAGGAUGACGAUGAUAUGGACCCAGAUUUAGGUAAUGAAUCCUUACACCCGGAUGUCGAUAAUGGCAUGGAUAAGGAGUGACCAGGGAGUUUUUACAUCACCUCAUAUUUUUGUUUUGUUUUGUAUUUGAAAGCGCUGGGGACAAUGCUACAUUUUAAGUAUGGGGUGGUGGAGAUUCUUAAUCUAUUAUCUAUUCUGGAUGGAUUGUUAUUAUUGAUGUUAUUCUGUUGGAUAUUAUCAUUAUUUUUAUUUGAUUCUUAUAAAGAAAUUCUAGUACAUUUGGUCUGUAAUAGUUAGUAAUUAUUAUUCUGAAUUCGAUUGUGUAGUAGUUAGUAAUAGUUUAAUCAUUUUAUUAUUCC